rnacentral:lncRNA from 1 species
UUACUGGAGUAAGUAAGCCCUUAAGGGUGUCUCUACACCCAGCGCCCUAAAACCAUCUGGUUUGAGAGUCGUUGGUCGAAAGCUCGUUACAUAGGUAAUAUUGAAAUGCCUAAGAGAACUAGACAUUGUACAGUCAAGUGUAAACACGAGAAAGAGCAUAAAUGCCCUCGUGAGCAAAGAAAAGAAGAAAUAAAUCCUGUAUUGACUUUGAAUUGGGUGAUCGAGUAGUUUUAGCUGGAGCUUAACUUGUGAACGGAGUUUUUAAAGUUAAAAUUGUGUUUUUUUUCUCUAAGAAGCAUAUUAUGCGAUGUAUUUGAACUGUAGUUUAUUUUAAUGGUUGCUAAGCACACACACCAUGCAUCAGUAAUAACAGGCUUUGAUUUAUGGAUUGGUAUGGGUUAUUGAAUUGUCUUGUUUGGAUGUGUUGUUUGAAUCUAUUGUUGAUACCUCCGAGGCAUAUUUGUUUGAUUUCGUACUGACUGAUGGUUGGAUUUGUAGGCAUAUAGUUAAGAUGCAUUUUUUAUUUGCAUUGCUUGGGGACAAGCAAUUGGUUAAGUUUGGGGGUAUUUGAUGAGUAGGUUUUAUACCUAUGAAUUCGAUAUUAUUAAACUUAAUUAUUGAUAUCUUUAAGUGUUUAGUAUCUCUUUGUGUUUUUUGUGUUUAUUUCUUGUAGGUUGGAAGGACAAAUUGGUCAUUUGGAAGAAGAAAAAGAUCAAAAAUCAUUAAAAUUAGAGCUGAGUGACAUUUUUGUAAUACGUGGUCCUGACCAAGCUCCUAGUUGCUUGGAUUUUUACUUGGUUGAGCGCCUAGGCGCUCAUGCACGAUCAAAGUUGGAUUUUAAAUGCAAGAUAUAAUAAAUAAUUCAAUAAAAACCAACUUUCAUUCAAUGGGAAGGUUUAAUUUAAACUAUAUACCAAGUUCCGUUGCAAUCUUAAUUAAAAUUUACUUAAUGAUAAUAAAGGAAAACAUUAUGCAAAUUAAUAAUCCAGACAUCCUAGUUAAUUACAAAUAUAAAAUUAGAGAAAAGAUUAGAUGAACUUGUCAGAUUGCUCCUAGUCCUCUACUUGUUCUUUAGCCUCUGCAAUAUCCUUCGUGUUCUCCCCGUUGGUCUCUUUGCAAAUCUCUUAAUAAUCUCCUUCCUGAAGUCUUUUCCUAUUUGUAUUGGUCCCAACCCUCAUCAAGAUUCCUAAUUAGCUUCAAAAACAACUCAGCAGUAGAAAAAUGCCAUUCGGCUCUAAUUUUAAUGAUUUUUGAUCUUUUUCUUCUUUUAAAUGACCAAUUUGUCCCUCCAACUCCAACCUUCAAGAAAUAAACACAAAAACACAUAAAAAGAUACUAAAUACACUUAAAGAUGACAAUAAUUAAGUUUAAUAAUAUCGGAUUCAUAGGUAUAAAGCCUACUCAUCAAAUACCCCAAACUUAAUCAAUUCCUUGUCCCCAAGCAAUGCAAAAAAAAAAGCAUCCUAACUAUAUGCGUACAAAUCCAGCCAUCUGUCAGUACGAAAUCAAACAAAUAUACCUCAGGGGUAUCAACAAUAGAUUCAAACAAUACAUCCAAACAAGACAAUUCAAUAACUCAUACCAAUCCAUAAAUCAAAUCUUGUUAUUACUGAUGCAAGGUGUGUAUGCUUAGCAACCAUUAAAAUCAACUAUAGUUUAAAUAUAUUGCAUAAUAUGCUUCUUAGAGGAAAAGAUACAGUUUUAAGUUAGGAAACUUCGUUCACAAACUAAGCUCCAACUAAAUUUACACAAUAACCAAAUUCAGAGUCAAUACGGUAUUUAUUUCUUCUUUUAUUUGCUCACGAGGGCAUUUAUGAUCUUUCUUGUGUUUACACUUGACUGUGCAAUGUCUAGUUCUAUUAGGCUUUUCAAUGUUAUCCAUGUAACGAGCUUUCGACCAAUGAGUCCAAAACUAGAUGGCUUUAGGGCGCUGAGUGUAGAGACACCCCUAAGGGCUUACUCCAGUAACAAAGGCCACAAAACUAAACUAGUCAACAUGUUUAUUCAUAUGAUUAUUUUUUGUAUUUUCUAUUUUUUUUCUUAUUUAAAAAUCCCAUAUUUUCCCCCAAACUUGAUUUUUUGCGUCAUCCUAACUUUUACUACAAGUUUACCGAUUUUCCUUCAUUAAAACCAAGAUUUCCCGAAGAAGACAAUUUUGCGAUCAUUUAAUCUAAGUUUAUCAAAAUGAUCAACCUAACGUGCUAUCUUGUUACAUCAGUUUCAAACAGGAUAAGAUUUACAUAAUUAUUCGACACUACAUUCAUGUCUCAGUUGUAAUACUGUUCAAAUGUAUACGCGAUCCCAAUCUCAUCAUUGGCCAAGUCAAACUCGCACUAAUUGACAUGUUCGGAUUCAUGCAUUUUUUUUAGAAAUUAGAAUGACAACUACAAAUGAGUUAUGAUAAACGAAUGCAAAUACUAAAUGAAUGCAACUAAAUGAUUGUAAUACAACUAGAAGAAUGCACCCCCAAACUUAACAUAUGCAAUGUCCUCAUUGUAUAUAAAAAAACCCAUAAGAAAUUAGGUAUUGAGGACUUCCUUGAAAGAUCGAAGCCUUACUCCUCGUCAGCAUCCUCUGCUUAUUCUUCAUCAACCUCAUCCUCAGGGGGUAAGUCAUUCGGGGUACACAGACAAGGGUGGAGGUGGUCGGAAUUGGUAAGGACCACCUGCUGGAUUCAUGCGGUUGAACAUCUCUAUGAAUGAUGCAUUAUAGUUCUGAUAUAUCUCCGCUUGUCGUUGAGCCAGUCUAUUCUGCUUCUUAUCCACCCGGUCAAAACCCUGUUCAAUUUGGGUGGCCACCAUGUCAAUCCGUCUAGUUUGAUGUCUCAAUUCUCGACGAAUAUCCUCAAAAAAAUUUGGUGCUGGCACGUAACUCUCAGUUGUAGUAGGAUUGUUUUUUGACUGUUCAUUAGUCUCGUCAACAGGAUCUGGAGGCACAAUAAUGAAACCUAAUCCUCUCGGGUGUGGCUUAACCCCAACCCAUACCUUGUACUUUUUUAUAACCGAGUGGUCAAUUGUGGCUAAAGGAGGUUGUCUUGCUUCCUCGGCUUCCCACUUUACUCCAACUUAUUGACACAGUCCAGUAAUCAAAAAUGGAUGAGACAGUCCACCUGAAGUCCCUCCUUGAAUUGUUCUGUCGAUUGAAUCAUGUAUAACCUGACCCACAUCUAUAGUUUUUCCUUUUGAAAUGUAGAAAAGCAACGCUGCCCGUUGAUUUAUGACAUCACUCAUAGGCCUACACGACAUCAACUUGGCACAAAUAAAGACAUGCCAUGCUUUCCCGUAACUACUCGGUGCGGAUGCAGGAAUAAGAACUGCUUCUUGCUGAUUCGGUAAUUUUCAUUUUGUUUCAGGUACACACAAUGCUUGAAUGAUCACACUAGCACUUGUGAAUCUCUUUUUGUCAAACUUUGUUGAAGUGAGGAAAGGAAGUAUGAGUUUCACGUGGUGUACGAAGAGAAAAGAGAGGAGUUUUAGAUGAACUAGGAGAGAAAAUAGAGUUUGAUUUGGGUUGAAAGGAGUGAUGCCCGGUUAAGGCUUAAUUUUUUUUUUUAAAGUCUGGGCAGGAGUGCCUAGGCACUUGAUUUUGUAUGGGAUUGACCGCCUAGGCGCUUGAUGACAGAACGUGUUGGUCAAGUAUAGCGACUAGGCGCUUGGAAUGGGCAUGGAGUGAGUGCUUAGACGCUUGGGGAUUGCUGAGUGUUCUGCAUUUGAACACCUAGGCGCUUGUGCCUGACUUGGUGGAUUUUGUGCGUCUUCCAUGCUUCAAACCUGCAUAUCAAAGCUUCAAUUCUCAGUUUUUAGAUUACGAGUUAUACUAAAACCCUAAACUAAGAUAAAAUAUGAUUAAUUUCUUUUAUUUUAGUAUGUUAGUUUAGUUAACUAUAUAUUUUAUCUUAGUUUAGGGUUUGAGUAUAAGUUGUAAUCUCCUUGCAAACAAAAACUGAGAAUUGAAGCUUUGAUAUGUAGGUUGGAAGCAUGGAAGACACAAAUUGAGAAUUGAAGCUUUGAUAUGUAGGUUGGAAACAUGGAAGACGUACAAAAUCCACCAAGUCAGUCCCAAGCGCUUAGGCGCCCAAACCAUGCACAAAACAAGCGACUAGGCGCUCAAAUGCAGAACACUCAACAUUCCCUAAACGCCUAGGCGCUACACUUGACUAACACGUUCUGUCUUCAAGCCCCUAGGCGGUCAAUCCCAUUUAAAAUCAAGCGCCAAGCUCCUGCUAAGACUUUGAAAAAAAAUUUAAGCCCUAAUCGAGCAUCACUCCUUUCAACCCAAAUCAAACUAUUUUCUCUCCUAGUUCAUCUAAAACUCCUCUAUUUUCUCUUCCUACACCACGUGAAACUCAUACUUCCCUUUCUUCACUGUUAAUGCGUCCGAAAGGUAUCAGAAUUGGCUUUCUGGUAAAACGCUAAUUCCUGAGCGUGGAUUAUUGCCAGAGGCAGAAGAUGGGGAGUUGCUACAAAUGAUUGGAAGCAAAGAUGGGUGAAUUUUACAGCUCAACCGGAUCCGUCGGUCAUAAAAAUUGUUAAGGAAUUCUACGCCAAUGCAAAAGAUGUUGUCAGUAACAUGAUUUGCAUUCGUUUAGCAUAACUCAUUCAUCUUGUAGUUUUGCAUGUAGUUGUCAUUCUAGUUUCUAAAAAAAAUGCAUGAAUCUGAGCAUGUCAAUUAGUGCGAGUUUGACUUGGCCAAUGAUGAGAUUGGGAUCGCGUAUACAUUUGAACAGUAUUACAACUGAGACAUGAAUGUAGUGUCGUAUCAUGAUGUAAAUCUUAUCCUGUUUGAAACUGAUGUAACAAGAUAACACGUUAGGUUGAUCAAAUUAGUUUAAAUGAUCGCAUAAUUGUUUCUUGGGGGAAGUCUUGUUUUUAAUGGAGGGAAAUCGGUAAACUUGUAGUAAAAGCUAGGAUGACACAAAAAUUUAAGUUUGGGGGAAAAUAUGAGAUUUUUAAAUUAAAAAAAAUUAAAGGAAAAUUCAGGAAAAAAAUCCAUAUGAAUAAACACGUUCAAUUGGUUUAGUUAUGUGUCCUUUGUUACUGGAGUAAGUAAGCCCUUAAGGGUGUCUCUACACCCAGCGCCCUAAAACCAUCUGGUUUGAGAGUCGUUGGUCGAAAGCUCGUUACAUAGGUAAUAUUGAAAAGCCUAAGAGAACUAGACAUUGCACGGUCAAGUGUAAACACGAGAAAGAGCAUAAAUGCCCUCGUGAGCAAAGAAAAGAAGAAAUAAAUCCCGUAUUGACUCUGAAUUUGGUGAUAGAGUAGUUUUAGCUGGAGCUUAACUUGUGAACGGAGUUUUUUAAGUUAAAAUUGUGUUUUUUUCUCUAAGAAGCAUAUUAUGCGAUGUAUUUGAACUGUAGUUUAUUUUAAUGGUUGCUAAGCACACACCCUGCAUCAGUAAUAACAGGCUUUGAUUUAUGGAUUGGUAAGGGUUAUUGAAUUGUCUUGUUUGGAUGUGUUGUUUGAAUCUAUUGUUGAUAGCUCCGUGGCAUAUUUGUUUGAUUUCGUACUGACUGAUGGCUGGAUGUGUAGGCAUAUAGUUAAGAUGCAUUUUUUAUUUGCAUUGCUUGGGGACAAGCAAUUGGUUAAGUUUGGGGGUAUUUGAUGAGUAUGUUUUAUACCUAUGAAUCCGAUAUUAUUAAACUUAAUUAUUGAUAUCUUUAAGUGUUUAGUAUCUCUUUGUGUUUUUUGUGUUUAUUUCUUGUAGGUUGGAGGGA